rnacentral:rRNA from 1 species
GACCAGACUCCUACGGGAGGCAGCAGUGGGGAAUAUUGGGCAAUGGGCGCAAGCCUGACCCAGCAACGCCGCGUGAAGGAAGAAGGCUUUCGGGUUGUAAACUUCUUUUAAGAGGGACGAAACAAAUGACGGUACCUCUUGAAUAAGCCACGGCUAACUACGCGCCAGCAGCCGCGGUAAUACGUAGGUGGCAAGCGUUAUCCGGAUUUAUUGGGUGUAAAGGGCGUGUAGGCGGGAAAGCAAGUCAGAUGUUAAAACUAUGGGCUCAACCCAUAGCCUGCAUUUGAAACUGUUUUUCUUGAGUGCUGGAGAGGCAAUCGGAAUUCCGUGUGUAGCGGUGAAAUGCGUAGAUAUACGGAGGAACACCAGUGGCGAAGGCGGAUUGCUGGACAGUAACUGACGCUGAGGCGCGAAAGCGUGGGGAGCACACAGGAUUAGAUACCCCGGUAU